UGACGUCACAAAUUGAGAUGCUUCUACAGUACAUAGCCCCACCUCACCAGUUUUAUUCAGAGAAAGUCUUGUUUUUUUUGUUUGUUUUUUUUUGCCCAAAGCCAAUCUAUAUAACAGGAAUCAGUCAUUCAAGACGAACCAACCAGUUAUAACUCACAUUACGGAGUUAAAAGAUGGAUAGAAAUACAGUAUAAAGUUUAAAGAUGGAAAGAAACACAGUAUAAAGUUUAAAGAUGGAAAGAAACACAGUAUAAAGUUUAAAGAUGGAAAGAAACACAGUAUAAAGGUAAAAGAUGGAUAGAAAUACUGUAUAAAGGUAAAAGAUGGAUAGAAAUACAGUCUAAAGUUUAAAGAUGGAAAGAAACACAGUAUAAAGUUUAAAGAUGGAUAGAAAUACAGUAUACUGCAGUGUUUAUUUCCAAGGCAGAGUGUAACAUGUCUGUUUAUGACAUGGUAAUGGAGGGGAGGAGUGCGCUUUCAAGGAAGGUCAAAUGCCAAUAAUACGGUAUACGUGGUCUGAAACAUUAACAUGUAUGUCUCAGUGUGAAUGACUGAUCAUCAAACCCAAUCAACAGCUUUGGUUUAUUGCUAUCUUAAACAAACACACGUCCUUUCAAAGCCUGUUUCCUGCCUGCCAGCUUAAACGAGACCCCCGCUAGCAGUAGCUACCCCAUGCUGAGGCUCCAAACCGGACCCCGGACUCUAGAAAACGAGCUGCAGCGCAACACAGAGAACAACAUAAUUAACUCUUAAUGAACCUCCUUCUUCCAUCACUAACACACACUUCCCAAAUUCAAUUUGGCCUAAUCCUGCCUUUAUGGUAAUGUAUAGCUCAUUAAAAUGUUAGUUACAGACUCAUUAAAAUGCACUCAGAGACAUAAUGAAUUCAUUACUAUGAUACUGCUGAAAAAGAAAGAGGAGCUAGACGAGAAGAAGGACACGGGAGAAGAAAGCAAAGGAAAGAGCGAGAAUGAGAGAGGAAGACAGGCUUCCCGAUGACUUAAUUUUGACUGGAAUCUGCAUAUAUUUGCAUAAUAAACCUGCAUGCUGUGCAGCUAAUUUUCAGCAUAGCUCUAUAAUGAAGGCCCUUGCAAUUAAGAUUCUUUUCUUCAAAAUAAAUGUAGGACCCGUUCAUAGCUCUUUGUAGCGUCUCACUUUGUGUGUACGCAUCUGUCUGGGUGUGUCAGUGAUGUCUCGUUUGGGUUACAUUCGAAUUAUUUUGCCUAAGUAUGGUAGCUGAUGAAUGCAGGUCAAAGACGACCCAACAAUAUAAACAUAAACGAUGUUGAAAACACCACCUGUGCGCAAAAGCAGCGUGUCCAGAAUGUGAAUUUUCAGCCAUUAAGUGUUUUUCAGCUAGUUCUUCAGCUUUGUAACCCUGCGCUGUGAAGGAAUCAGAGAAGGCAGCAGUAGCAAAGAGACUCCCAAAAAGCCAAGGUCUUCAAGAGACGAUGUUUCAGCCGCUGUAGUCUGAUUCUGCCUAAUGAACGUAGCUGGAGAGCUCUGAAAACUUGGAGACUGAGUAGAAUCAAAAGACUUCAUCUCAUCAUCCAACUCCGCUGCUAACACGCCUGCUUUUAUCCCGUACCUCGGAAUCAAACAAACGUCUGACUGCAUGCGAGAGACGAGACUCAAGACAGAAGCUGGGGAUGAUUGUGAGAUCAAAGACAUGAAUUGGCUGAUCAGGUUGGGAGAUUCAUAUUCCUCUGUAAAACAGGGAGAAAGGCAAACCUUUUGCAGCAUUAAAUAUGUUGCUGGCUGUGUAAGUUUUCUUAUAUUCGUUACUACGCCUUUGAUAUAGAUCUCUAAUUAGUUUGUCAAGAUGGUGAUCACAUGCCGGGGUUGUAAGAACCCUGAUGGAAAUGAACCCUUUGGCGGAAUCAAAGUUUUUUUUUCUUUUUCCAUUAGUAUCAAAGGGUAUUUAGCCACUGUUGGCUUUUAGACUGUCAGGGCAGAAUACUACCAGGAAGGCUUAACACAGCUCAGGAACUGGAGAUCUGACAAAA
ensembl:lncRNA